UUGUCUCUCUUGAGUGGAUCCUGAGUACGACGGAGCACGUGAAAUUCCGUCGGAAUCUGGGAGGACCAUCUCCUAAGGCUAAAUACUCUCUAGUGACCGAUAGUGAACCAGUACCGUGAGGGAAAGGUGAAAAGCACCCCGGAAGGGGAGUGAAAUAGAACCUGAAACCGUGUGCUUACAAGUAGUCAGAGCCCGUUAAUGGGUGAUGGCGUGCCUUUUGUAGAAUGAACCGGCGAGUUACGAUUUGAUGCAAGGUUAAGCAGUAAAUGUGGAGCCGUAGCGAAAGCGAGUCUGAAUAGGGCGUUUAGUAUUUGGUCGUAGACCCGAAACCAGGUGAUCUACCCUUGGUCAGGUUGAAGUUCAGGUAACACUGAAUGGAGGACCGAACCGACUUACGUUGAAAAGUGAGCGGAUGAACUGAGGGUAGCGGAGAAAUUCCAAUCGAACCUGGAGAUAGCUGGUUCUCUCCGAAAUAGCUUUAGGGCUAGCCUCAAGUGAUGAUUAUUGGAGGUAGAGCACUGUUUGGACGAGGGGCCCCUCUCGGGUUACCGAAUUCAGACAAACUCCGAAUGCCAAUUAAUUUAACUUGGGAGUCAGAACAUGGGUGAUAAGGUCCGUGUUCGAAAGGGAAACAGCCCAGACCACCAGCUAAGGUCCCAAAAUAUAUGUUAAGUGGAAAAGGAUGUGGCGUUGCCCAGACAACUAGGAUGUUGGCUUAGAAGCAGCCAUCAUUUAAAGAGUGCGUAAUAGCUCACUAGUCGAGUGACACUGCGCCGAAAAUGUACCGGGGCUAAACAUAUUACCGAAGCUGUGGAUUGUCCUUUGGACAAUGGUAGGAGAGCGUUCUAAGGGCGUUGAAGCAUGAUCGUAAGGACAUGUGGAGCGCUUAGAAGUGAGAAUGCCGGUGUGAGUAGCGAAAGACGGGUGAGAAUCCCGUCCACCGAUUGACUAAGGUUUCCAGAGGAAGGCUCGUCCGCUCUGGGUUAGUCGGGUCCUAAGCUGAGGCCGACAGGCGUAGGCGAUGGAUAACAGGUUGAUAUUCCUGUACCACCUAUAAUCGUUUUAAUCGAUGGGGGGACGCAGUAGGAUAGGCGAAGCGUGCGAUUGGAUUGCACGUCUAAGCAGUAAGGCUGAGUAUUAGGCAAAUCCGGUACUCGUUAAGGCUGAGCUGUGAUGGGGAGAAGACAUUGUGUCUUCGAGUCGUUGAUUUCACACUGCCGAGAAAAGCCUCUAGAUAGAAAAUAGGUGCCCGUACCGCAAACCGACACAGGUAGUCAAGAUGAGAAUUCUAAGGUGAGCGAGCGAACUCUCGUUAAGGAACUCGGCAAAAUGACCCCGUAACUUCGGGAGAAGGGGUGCUCUUUAGGGUUAACGCCCAGAAGAGCCGCAGUGAAUAGGCCCAAGCGACUGUUUAUCAAAAACACAGGUCUCUGCUAAACCGUAAGGUGAUGUAUAGGGGCUGACGCCUGCCCGGUGCUGGAAGGUUAAGAGGAGUGGUUAGCUUCUGCGAAGCUACGAAUCGAAGCCCCAGUAAACGGCGGCCGUAACUAUAACGGUCCUAAGGUAGCGAAAUUCCUUGUCGGGUAAGUUCCGACCCGCACGAAAGGCGUAACGAUUUGGGCACUGUCUCAACGAGAGACUCGGUGAAAUCAUAGUACCUGUGAAGAUGCAGGUUACCCGCGACAGGACGGAAAGACCCCGUGGAGCUUUACUGUAGCCUGAUAUUGAAAUUCGGCACAGCUUGUACAGGAUAGGUAGGAGCCUUUGAAACGUGAGCGCUAGCUUACGUGGAGGCGCUGGUGGGAUACUACCCUAGCUGUGUUGGCUUUCUAACCCGCACCACUUAUCGUGGUGGGAGACAGUGUCAGGCGGGCAGUUUGACUGGGGCGGUCGCCUCCUAAAAGGUAACGGAGGCGCUCAAAGGUUCCCUCAGAAUGGUUGGAAAUCAUUCAUAGAGUGUAAAGGCAUAAGGGAGCUUGACUGCGAGACCUACAAGUCGAGCAGGGUCGAAAGACGGACUUAGUGAUCCGGUGGUUCCGCAUGGAAGGGCCAUCGCUCAACGGAUAAAAGCUACCCCGGGGAUAACAGGCUUAUCUCCCCCAAGAGUUCACAUCGACGGGGAGGUUUGGCACCUCGAUGUCGGCUCAUCGCAUCCUGGGGCUGUAGUCGGUCCCAAGGGUUGGGCUGUUCGCCCAUUAAAGCGGUACGCGAGCUGGGUUCAGAACGUCGUGAGACAGUUCGGUCCCUAUCCGUCGUGGGCGUAGGAAAUUUGAGAGGAGCUGUCCUUAGUACGAGAGGACCGGGAUGGACAUACCUCUGGUGUACCAGUUGUCGUGCCAACGGCAUAGCUGGGUAGCUAUGUGUGGACGGGAUAAGUGCUGAAAG
rnacentral:rRNA from 1 species